rnacentral:rRNA from 1 species
UAGGGAAUCUUCCGCAAUGGGCGAAAGCCUGACGGAGCAACGCCGCGUGAGUGAUGAAGGUCUUCGGAUCGUAAAACUCUGUUAUUAGGGAAGAACAAAUGUGUAAGUAACUAUGCACGUCUUGACGGUACCUAAUCAGAAAGCCACGGCUAACUACGUGCCAGCAGCCGCGGUAAUACGUAGGUGGCAAGCGUUAUCCGGAAUUAUUGGGCGUAAAGCGCGCGUAGGCGGUUUUUUAAGUCUGAUGUGAAAGCCCACGGCUCAACCGUGGAGGGUCAUUGGAUACUGGAAAACUUGAGUGCAGAAGAGGAAAGUGGAAUUCCAUGUGUAGCGGUGAAAUGCGCAGAGAUAUGUAGGAACACCAGUGGCGAAUGCGACUUUCUAGUCUGUAACUGACGCUGAUGUGCGCAAGCGUGGGGAUCAAACAGG